rnacentral:rRNA from 1 species
UACGUAGGGUGCAAGCGUUGUCCGGAAUUAUUGGGCGUAAAGAGCUCGUAGGCGGUUCGUCGCGUCGGCUGUGAAAUCCCGAGGCUCAACCUCGGGUCUGCAGUCGAUACGGGCGGACUGGAGUACUGCAGGGGAGACUGGAAUUCCUGGUGUAGCGGUGAAAUGCGCAGAUAUCAGGAGGAACACCGGUGGCGAAGGCGGGUCUCUGGGCCGAUACUGACGCUGAGGAGCGAAAGCGUGGGGAGCGAACAGG